AUACUUACCUAGACAAGGUCUAUAAAUGAUCAACGAAACUCAUGGCCUAGGUUAGCAACCUCCAUUGCACUAUGGAGUGGUGUUACCAUCUCCAUAGGAGAGUGGAUGCCAUAAAUUGUUGUAGAUGGGGUAUGCGCUUAUGUGGGCCCUAC
rnacentral:snRNA from 2 species